CACGUAGGGCGCAAGCGUUUGUCCGGAAUUAUUGGGCGUAAAGAGCUCGUAGGCGGUCUGUUGCGUCGGCUGUGAAAACCUGGGGCUCAACCCCGGGCCUGCAGUCGAUACGGGCAGACUAGAGUGCGGUAGGGGAGACUGGAAUUCCUGGUGUAGCGGUGAAAUGCGCAGAUAUCAGGAGGAACACCGGUGGCGAAGGCGGGUCUCUGGGCCGUAACUGACGCUGAGGAGCGAAAGCGUGGGGAGCGAACAGG
rnacentral:rRNA from 1 species